rnacentral:piRNA from 1 species
UAGAUCUAUGCCCUUUGAACUGUUCCAUAGC